UGAAAGCUGGCGUCUUCGGCGUCCGCAUUGUAAUCUCAAGAAGUGUUUUCCGCUUCGGACCAAGCCUAAGUCCCCUGGAAAGGGGCAUCAUAGAGGGUGAUAAUCCCGUACAUGGCUUGGAGCGCCCGAGGCUUUGUGAUACGCUUUCUAAGAGUCGAGUUGUUUGGGAAUGCAGCUCAAAAUGGGUGGUAAAUGCCAUCUAAGGCUAAAUAUUGGGGAGAGACCGAUAGCGAACAAGUACAGUGAUGGAAAGAUGAAAAGAACUUUGAAAAGAGAGUUAAACAGUACGUGAAAUUGCCAAAAGGGAAGGGUAGGAGGUCAGAGAUGCGGCCUGGGAUUCAGCCUUGCUUUUGCUUGGUGUUUUUCCCAGAUUGCAGGCCAACGUCGGUUUUGGGCACUGGAGAAGGGUAGGAGGAACGUGGCACCCCUCGGGGUGUGUUAUAGCCUCCUACUGGAUACAGCGACCGAGACCGAGGACAGCAGCGUACUCGCAAGAGCGGGCCUUCGGGCACCUUUACGCUUAGGGCGUUGGCAUAAUGGCCCUCUACCACCCGUCUUG
rnacentral:rRNA from 1 species